AGCCAGCGAACCGCACCCCAUAUACUCACAGGCUCCAGCUACGUGGCCACGCACAGACAGUUGGCACAGUAGGGGGCACGUGGUGCAUCGGCCAGUCAUCUCAGUCAACCCAUGACACCUGGGUAUAUCCCGUGACCGCUUGCACGCGGGCAUUUCAUAUUUCAAGUGACCUUAGCCUGGAACAAUCGCCGUGUGACGUCACUGCCACUGAAUGACGAAUUGUGGUUGUUGGUGCUGAUACUGAUGAUGGUUUAGAUGAUGUUGAUGACGAUGGCGCUGAUGAUGACCGUGUUGAUGAUUAAAGUGGUGUUGCUGAUGAUGGUGUUGAUAAUGAUAGUGCUGAAGCUGAUGGUGGUGCUUAUGAUGAUAAUGAUGGUGCCGAUGUUGAUGCUUAUGAUAGUGGCGUCACACACAGUGCACACACACGCACACGCAAUAAUGUUCACGUUAUUGUUGUAGCUGAGCUUAUUCACCCAAGGGAUACCUGUGCAACAGAGGAAGACAUUUAAAAGGAAUCUAAAUCAACUUAUACUCUAAUCCCACUCCUCACCGUGCUCGCUCUCUCAUUUACCACUCCAUGUGACGUCAUCAUCGCGAGACGCCAACGGGUGUAUACCUCGCUAGUGACGUCAUGUCACCAAUAAAAUUAUAAUUUGGGCAAAGCCACUCGCAAUCACUCCAUAUGAGGGCCUGCUUCAUGUUAUUUUCCCAUUAAAUACGUCACGAGUUCAUUGUAUCAGAUUCAGUGGCCGCUCCCAAUCACUCAAUGUCAGGGACUGGCUCAUUAACAUAAUUUAUUUAGUGAGGUGGAAAACUCGCUAAGUGACGUCAUGUCCUCUCCACCGCUGCGCGAAUCUGCGUGACAUCACGAGAUCCCGGAAAGCUGCUCGCCACUCAACUGACAUCCGAGGCCCGGCAAAUGCUGCGUGACAAGGAUUCAGAGCCGCUUCCUGUUCAAGUUGGCGUGUGACAGGAAUUCCUUCUGGCCACAUACAUUACGGACGAUGCGGAGCUGAGUGGACUUGCCGAUGACUGGUACCAACGGUGUCAAGAUCGGCCU